rnacentral:rRNA from 1 species
AUUGAACGCUGGCGGCAGGCCUAACACAUGCAAGUCGAGCGAGCGGAGGACGGGUGAGUAAUGUCUGGGAAACUGCCUGAUGGAGGGGGAUAACUACUGGAAACGGUAGCUAAUACCGCAUACCAUCAGAUGUGCCCCGAGGGGAUUAGCUAGUAGGUGGGGUAACGGCUCACCUAGGCGACGAUCCCUAGCUGGUUGGAGAGGAUGACCAGCCAAACUGGAACUGAGACACGGUCCAGACUCCUACGGGAGGCAGCAGUGGGGAAUAUUGCACAAUGGGCGCAAGCCUGAUGCAGCCAUGCCGCGUGUAUGAAGAAGGCCUUCGGGUUGUAAAGCACUUUCAGCGGGGAGGCGUUACCCGCAGAAGAAGCACCGGCUAACUCCGUGCCAGCAGCCGCGGUAAUUC